CGCAGGCAGUCGAUGCAAGUGCUCUGGCAGCAGAUGUUUCUCUGGGUAAUAAACACAACUUCAGCGCAGACAAAAUCCUCACGAAGAAAGUGAGAUUAGAAGGGCAGUGCAGCUGUUUUGAGUGAAGGGAAGCGCAAGUUCGAAGAUACACAGAAGGGCAGCGCAGUCGUCUUGAAUGCAGGGCAGCGUGGGUCAAACCAAUUGGCACGUUCAGAGUGACUCUAUC
rnacentral:lncRNA from 1 species